rnacentral:rRNA from 1 species
GACGAACCGUCCAAACGUUAUUCGGAAUUACUGGGCUUAAAGGGUGCGUAGGCGGCGCGGAAAGUUGGGUGUGAAAUCUCGGGGCUUAACUCCGAAACUGCAUUCGAUACUGCCGUGCUUGAGGACUGGAGAGGAGACUGGAAUUUACGGUGUAGCGGUGAAAUGCGUAGAUAUCGUAAGGAAGACCAGUGGCGAAGGCGGGUCUCUGGACAGUUCCUGACGCUGAGGCACGGAAGGUCAGGGGAGCAAACGGG